rnacentral:snRNA from 2 species
GUCUCUUCGGGGAUAUCCGAUAAAAUUGGAACGAUACAAAGAAGAUUAGCAUGGCCCCUGCGCUAGGAUGACACGCACAAAUCAAGAAAUGGUCCAAUUUUUU